GACAAACAAGACGCCUCAGAAGUGGUAUUUAUAGACCUCAACUGAAGGUUUGAAACCAUUAUAUUAUCGACAGUAUUGAGCGAGGGAACAUUAAAUUCAAAAGAAGACCAUACAAGACGAUCGGUUUUGAUUGUUUCACUAGUAACAGACUGAACAAUCACCAUCCACUCGGUAUCCUUCGAAGAACAGAACGAUCCACAUUCAGUUACAGAGAUAUUACCAGACAAAAUGAAGAGUUUAUCAGCUCUGGUUGUUCCACUUCUUGUUUUUACACUUGUCACCAUUCCACCGCCGUCUCUCCAAAGUCCAGUCCCUCGAAAAUCAGUGGGCAAACCAUGUGUGCUCCAAAUAAAUGUGCGUAAUGGCGUCCUCGUGACAGAAUGUGACUCGGCAUCUUUUGGCUGUUUGAGCAGUAUUCCUACCUACGGUUACCCGAAAUGUCAACCAGUUUAUAGAAUGAUGGAAAUUCCACAAUCUGGAGAGAAAAACAACAUGACUUCCCAUCUGCGAGGAAAGCAAGCCACCAUAGUUGAUUGUAAAUGUGCUUCAUAAGGAAUAAUGACUGGUCAAAACACUGUUAGUAUUAGUCUUGUACCCAAACUUUCCACAUUUCAGUAACAAUUAAACGGU